rnacentral:tRNA from 1 species
GGUUAUAUAGUUCAGUGGUAGAAUGUGUGCUUAGCAUGCACGAGAUCCUGGGUUCAAUCUCCAGUACCUCCA